rnacentral:rRNA from 1 species
UACGUAGGGGGCUAGCGUUGUCCGGAAUCAUUGGGCGUAAAGAGCGUGUAGGCGGUCCGGUAAGUCCGCUGUGAAAGUCGGGGGCUCAACCCUCGAAUGCCGGUGGAUACCGUCGGGCUAGAGUGCGGAAGAGGCGAGUGGAAUUCCGUGGUGUAGCGGGUGAAAUGCGCAGAUAUCAGGAGGAACACCUAUUGCGAAGGCAGCUCGCUGGGACGUAACUGACGCUGAGACGCGAAAGCGUGGGGAGCAAACAGG